rnacentral:rRNA from 1 species
CCUACGGGAGGCAGCAGUGGGGAAUAUUGCACAAUGGGGGAAACCCUGAUGCAGCGACGCCGCGUGAGUGAAGAAGUAAUUCGGUAUGUAAAGCUCUAUCAGCAGGGAAGAAAAUGACGGUACCUGAGUAAGAAGCCCCGGCUAACUACGUGACAGCAGCCGCGGUAAUACGUAGGGGGCAAGCGUUAUCCGGAUAUACUGGGUGUAAAGGGAGCGUAGACGGGAGUGCAGGUCAGGCGUGAAAGGCGGUGGAUCAACCCCCGGACUGCUCUGGAAACUGUCAGGCUGGAGUACAGGCGAGGUAGGUGGAAUGCGUAGUGUAGCGGUGAAAUGCGUAGAUAUUAGGAAGAACACCAGUGGCGAAGGCAGCUUACUGGACUGUAACUGACGUUGAGGCUCGAAAGCGUGGGGAGCAAACAGGAUUAGAUACCCCAGUAGUC